CUUAACUUCAUUUAGCUUGUUUUUUUCAGCUGUAAAAUAAGGAUAUUACCACCCACCUAAGAGGACUGCUUUGAAAAAAGAAAAGAGACAAACACAAUACUGUCAUCUUCAAAUUAAACGAAGAGCACAGAACAAAGGAAAUCCCACCAAUUUUCUACCCCACUACUGAAAGAAAGCUUUCUGGAGACCACCAUCUUCAAACUGAGGGUAAAAGGGACUUUAAGAGACCGAUCUAGAUAAACACUCCAGAGUCAGAAUUGGCUGGCAGUGGUGGGAUCUGAAGCAAAUAUCUAUUGGCAUUUAGGAACAAUGAGAAACACAGCCAGAAGAACCUUGAAGGGCGGAGGACAUUCAUCCUUCCUGACAGUUGGCAUAAAGAGCAGGAUGUUUUAAACUCACUGGAUACCACUCUCCCCCAGCAUUGCUGCAGCAGAGAGAUCCUUGGGAAAUCUGACAUAUAGCCAGCAGAAGAUUGAAGGAAACUUUUCGCAAGCUAAUUGAUUUACAGCAAUUUGGAACAUUCAUCUCCAGCAUUCAGAAACCCAUUGAGUAUUCUCAGAGUCCACUCUCCUUUUAACAGGACACAUUGGGUAAAUUGGUUAUAUGAUCCAGGCUCUGACUGCAAUGUCCUAUUUUAGACACAGGUUUAUACAGACUCAGAUAUGACCAGACAGCUUUAAGGAUUUUAUGGAGCCUAUAAAGCCCCCUUGGAAAUAUCAGCCUGAUAACUAUUGCUUACGGAGUUCUCAGCAACUCUACCAGGUAAGAAAAGAAGAUCAUUUCCUGGCCAGUGCAGGAACCUAGAGAAAAGAAUUCACCCAAAUCUAUAGGUACUGCAGGUGAAGUUUGAUGGCAACUGACAAUUUACUCUGGAGAUUUCUUAUGAAUAGUUCCAGCAAAGCAGGUUUAAAGAGCUAUAUGGUCAACUGCUAUUCUUGCUGCACUUAUGUAAAUUAAUCAGGCCAUGUUCUUUUAAAACCAAACUUAUUUUGCAAACAAAUUAGUGUCAAUUUGGCUAUCUUUGGUAGAAAUGGUGAUUACAGAAAGAAAAACACACCUGUGUAUUAGAUUUUAAUACUACUAAUCAAAAACUGGACUAGAUCCAGAUUACCUCUAGUUUCCUCCAAUGACUAGCUACAACUCUCUAAACUCGUAUUUUCAGUUUUUCUCCUACCCUUCUGACUAGGAAUCAUUUGAGAACUAAAACUGCCCUCUUCCCUGAAGCCCUGCAAAGCAAAUAAAAACAACUUGAGGUAACCUUGAGAAAAAUCACACUACCUCCCAUCUAGACCCUCUGCAUCCCUGUUGUUCUAGGGGCCACUCAAAAGAUCAGAGAUAUGUGGACUCUAAACCAGGAAAAUCUGUCAGACUGUCACUUUUUACUCCCACUCCAGCUGAGGAUAUGUUCAGCUGGACAUCUAGAAGUCAGGACUGGCCACCCUCAAAACUCAAAACCUUUGAUCCAAUCCUUAACCAUUAUUUUCUUUUGUUCUGAUAGAAACAGAACACCUGAUUGAUGAUUUAUUUAAAUCACAGGCUCACUUUAAGAAUAUACCUGCAUCACGGACUCCUGAAGUGAGAUUAUUACUGAGCUGAUCUAUUGACAGUACUAAAAGACUGAUU